rnacentral:rRNA from 1 species
UACGUAGGGGGCAAGCGUUGUCCGGAUUCAUUGGGCGUAAAGAGCGUGUAGGCGGCCAGGUAGGUCGGUUGUGAAAACUGGAGGCUCAACCUUCAGAGGUCGACCGAAACCAUCUGGCUAGAGUCCGGGAGAGGAGAGUGGAAUUCCUGGUGUAGCGGUGAAAUGCGCAGAUAUCAGGAGGAACACCGAUGGCGAAGGCAGGUCUCUGGGCCACUACUGACGCUGAGAAGCGAAAGCGUGGGGAGCGAACAGG